AUACGGGGGGGGCGAACGUUGUCCGGAAUUAUUGGGCGUAAAGGGCGCGUAGGCGGGAAGGUCAGUCAGAGGUGAAAGCUUGUGGCUUAACUGCAAGUUUGCCUUUGAUACUGCCAUUCUUGAGUUCGGAAGAGGGAAGUGGAAUUCCUGGUGUAGCGGUGAAAUGCGUAGAUAUCAGGAAGAACACCGGUAGCGAAGGCGGCUUCCUGGUCCGAUACUGACGCUGAUGCGCGAAAGCGUGGGGAGCAAACAGGAUUAGAUACCCUGGUAGUCCACGCUGUAAACGAUGGGUACUAGGUGUUGGGUUUAAUUACUCAGCGCCGGAGCUAACGCAUUAAGUACCCCGCCUGGGGAGUACGAUCGCAUGAUUGAA
rnacentral:rRNA from 1 species